CACCCAGAUGCCUGUGAACUAAGUGAUAUACACCAGAUUUAUUUAACUACUGGCAACCACUUUUUUUUUUCUUUGUAGGGCAAUGAGUUAAAAGAUUAUUUACCUCCCUUGGUUACAAAAAGAAGAAAUACUUCUUCCAAGACUCUGGGUAGCUGCGGCCAGUUCUUCCAGAGAAAUUAUUUACCUCAAAGAUUCAGAGCGCGGAGCUUGGAAGCCUUGGCCCACCCGACUCCUUGCCGCUGCACUGCAUGGGCACCUUCUGAGGGAUUUACUAAGUAUCCUCAGGCUGGGUUCCUGCAGGGGCCAUACAAAAUUUAAAGCAAG
rnacentral:lncRNA from 1 species